UAAGACGUAGGAUGCGAGCGUUGUUCGGAAUUACUGGGCGUAAAGCGUGCGUAGGCGGUCCACCAAGCCGGCGUUGAAAGCCCGAGGCUCAACCUCGGAGACGGCGCCGGGACUGAUGGGCUAGAGGACGGCAGAGGAAGGUGGAAUUCCCAGUGUAGCGGUGAAAUGCGUAGAUAUUGGGAGGAACACCAGUGGCGAAAGCGACCUUCUGGGCUAGUCCUGACGCUGAGGUACGAAAGCGUGGGGAGCAAACGGGAUUAGAUACCCCGGUAGUCCACGCGGUAAACGAUGGGUGCUAGGUGUAGGUGGUAUCGACCCCACCUGUGCCGAAGCUUACGCGAUAAGCACCCCGCCUGGGGAGUACGGCCGCAAGGUUG
rnacentral:rRNA from 1 species